AGUGCAGUCUCUCACGUUAAAAAACCCUAAAUAUAAUACAGAGACAAAUAGUUUGUCAAGCAUUGAGAUCUGAUCUAUACGGCACUAGCAUCCCGUCCUGAUCUAGUUUGUGUGCGUGUGGAUACCGGUAGAGGUAGGUUGGCAACAUCGAUAUGCUGGUCACAGAGGUUUCGAAUGGUUGAAUUGUGUGAAUCCUCCGAAAUCAACAACCAAAAUUGUUUCCUUUUGGAUUAUCGCUGGUCCCCUAUUUUCUUAUUCUCAUUCUUUGUGUCGCAAGGAAAGGGAGAAUGAAAUUGGCGAACGAAGAUGUCUACAUUGAUGCUACUCCACAGAAGAUAUAUAUAGAGAGCCCUAUUUAAUAUUUGAGCCUGCCGAAUGUAUUUUUUCAUGAGUAUAUAGUUUGAUGUUUGGGGAUGUUUCAUGGUAAAUUUGAAAGUUAUGGUAAUUUGGUGGUAAUUCUCCCUCUAUUUACAGGCACGUAGAGCACACAUAACAAGUGGCGUUUUAGAAUGCUUGGCUUUGUCCCAUGUAGAGGCGCAAUUGCAAUAAUCUAUUAAAAAUAUUUUCGGGAAGCAAUAACUUGGCAAAAUGAGAAACUAUUGCUUUGGAACUCAUUUUUUUAUCAAGAUUUCUUUGAAAAAGUGCCAGCCACAGGCGGGGAACUCAGCCAUAGAAACUGAGUAUAAUAAUCAUUGAAGUUUCUUGAGACUGUUAAAGGUUGUCAAAUGUAGCAUUGUAGUGGCUAACUAGCUUGACCCUUCUGAUCUUGCUAACAAAAAAAAGACCAAAUGAAGGAGAAACCGCUGC